rnacentral:rRNA from 1 species
UACGGAGGGUGCGAGCGUUGUCCGGAAUCACUGGGCGUAAAGGGCGCGUAGGCGGCCGUGUAAGUCACUUGUGAAAUCCCGGGGCUCAACUCCGGGGCUGCAGGUGAGACUGCGUGGCUAGAGCACGGUAGAGGCGAGUGGAAUUCCCGGUGUAGCGGUGGAAUGCGUAGAUAUCGGGAAGAACACCGGUGGCGAAGGCGGCGACCUGGGUCGAGACUGACGCUGAGGCGCGAAAGCGUGGGGAGCAAACAGG